GGCGUCCGAGUUGUAAUUUGUAGAGGAUGCUAUUGGGUUGCCACCGGUCUAAGUUCCUUGGAACAGGACGUCACAGAGGGUGAGAAUCCCGUAUGUGACCGGCCAGGCGCCCUAUGUAUAGCUCCUUCGACGAGUCGGGUUGUUUGGGAAUGCAGCCCUAAAUGGGAGGUAAAUUUCUUCUAAAGCUAAAUACCGGCCAGAGACCGAUAGCGCACAAGUAGAGUGAUCGAAAGAUGAAAAGCACUUUGGAAAGAGAGUUAAAAAGCACGUGAAAUUGUUGAAAGGGAAGCGCUUGCAAUCAGUCUCGACGGCGGCUGUUCGGCCUCUCUUCUGAGUGGUUUAUUCAGUCGCCGCCGGGCCAGCAUCAGUUUCGGCGGUCGGAUAAAGGCGGAGGGAAUGUAGCUCCCCUCGGGGAGUGUUAUAGCCCUCCGCGCAAUACGGCCUGCCGGGACUGAGGUCCGCGCUUCGGCUAGGAUGCUGGCGAAAUGGUUGUAAGCGGCCCGUCUUGAAACACGGACCAAGGAGUCUAACAUCUAUGCGAGUGUUUGGGUGUCAAACCCGUGCGCGUAAUGAAAGUGAACGGAGGUGGGAACCGCAAGGUGCACCAUCGACCGAUCCUGAUGUCUUCGGAUGGAUUUGAGUAAGAGCAUAGCUGUUGGGACCCGAAAGAUGGUGAACUAUGCCUGAAUAGGGUGAAGCCAGAGGAAACUCUGGUGGAGGCUCGCAGCGGUUCUGACG
rnacentral:rRNA from 1 species